AACGAACGCUGGCGGCAGGCCUCAAACAUGCAAGUCUAGGGGGUGUAGCAAUACAUCACCGGCGGACGGGUGCGUAACGCGUGGGAAUGUACCUAUUGGUUCGGAACAACACAGGGAAACUUGUGCUAAUGCCGAAUGUGCCCGCAAGGGGAAAGAUUUAUCGCCAAUGGAUCAGCCCGCGUUCGAUUAGCUAGUUGGUGAGGUAAUGGCUCACCAAGGCGACGAUCGAUAGCUGUUCUGAGAGGAAGAUCAGCCACACUGGGACUGAGACACGGCCCAGACUCCUACGGGAGGCAGCAGUUGGGAAUCUUGGACAAUGGGGGAAACCCUGAUCCAGCCAUGCCGCGUGAGUGAUGAAGGCCUUCGGGUUGUAAAAUUCUUUCGCGCACGACGAUAAUGACGGUAGUGCGAGAAGAAGCUCCGGCUAACUUCGUGCCAGCAGCCGCGGUAAUACGAAGGGGGCUAGCGUUGUUCGGAAUUACUGGGCGUAAAGCGCGCGCAGGCGGCUAUCCAAGUCAGUGGUGAAAGCCCGGAGCUCAACUCCGGAACUGCCAUUGAAACUGUUU
rnacentral:rRNA from 1 species